rnacentral:rRNA from 1 species
ACGUACGCUGGCGGCACGCCUAACACAUGCAAGUCGAACGAAGUAGCAAUACUUAGUGGCAGACGGGUGAGUAACAUGUAGGUAUCUGCCCUUUGGCCUGGAAUAACACGAGGAAACUUGUGCUAAUACCGGAUAAGUCUUUACGGAGAAAGCUUUAUGCACCAUUGGAUGAGCCUGCACUUGAUUAGUUUGUUGGUGGGGUAAUGGCCUACCAAGACUGUGAUCAAUAGCUGAUUUGAGAGGAUGAUCAGCCACAUUGGGACUGAGACACGGCCCAAACUCCUACGGGAGGCAGCAGUGGGGAAUCUUGCACAAUGGAGGAAACUCUGAUGCAGCGAUGCCGCGUGAGUGAAGAAGGCCUUUGGGUUGUAAAGCUCUUUCGUCGGGGAAGAAAAUGACUGUACCCGAAUAAGAAGGUCCGGCUAACUUCGUGCCAGCAGCCGCGGUAAUACGAAGGGACCUAGCGUAGUUCGGAAUUACUGGGCUUAAAGAGUUCGUAGGUGGUUGAAAAAGUUAGUGGUGAAAUCCCAGAGCUUAACUCUGGAACUGCCAUUAAAACUUUUCAGCUAGAGUAUGAUAGAGGAAAGCAGAAUUUCUAGUGUAGAGGUGAAAUUCGUAGAUAUUAGAAAGAAUACCAAUUGCGAAGGCAGCUUUCUGGAUCAUUACUGACACUGAGGAACGAAAGCAUGGGUAGCGAAGAGGAUUAGAUACCCUCGUAGUCCAUGCCGUAAACGAUGUGUGUUAGACGUUGGAAAUUUAUUUUCAGUGUCGCAGGGAAACCGAUAAACACACCGCCUGGGGAGUACGACCGCAAGGUUAAAACUCAAAUGAAUUGACGGGGACCCGCACAAGUAGUGGAGCAUGUGGUUUAAUUCGAAGAUACGCGCAGAACCUUACCAACACUUGACAUGUUCGUCGCGACUCUAAGAGAUUAGAGUUUUCGGUUCGGCCGGACGAAACACAGGUGCUGCAUGGCUGUCGUCAGCUCGUGUCGUGAGAUGUUGGGUUAAGUCCCGCAACGAGCGCAACCCUCACUUUUAGUUGCCAUCAUUAAGUUGGGCACUCUGAAAGAACUGCCAGUGAUAAGCUGGAGGAAGGUGGGGAUGACGUCAAGUCCUCAUGGCCCUUACGUGUUGGGCUACACACGUGCUACAAUGGCAUCUACAACAGGAAGCAAAACGGCAACGUUAAGCAAAUCCCGAAAAGAUGCCUCAGUUCGGAUUGCACUCUGCAACUCGAGUGCAUGAAGCUGGAAUUACUAGUAAUCGUGGAUCAGCGUGCCACGGUGAAUGCGUUCCCGGGUCUUGUACACACCGCCCGUCAAGGGCG